UACGAAGGGGGCUAGCGUUGCUCGGAAUCACUGGGCGUAAAGCGCACGUAGGCGGUCUUUUAAGUCAGGGGUGAAAUCCUGGAGCUCAACUCCAGAACUGCCUUUGAUACUGAGGAUCUUGAGUCCGGGAGAGGUGAGUGGAACUGCGAGUGUAGAGGUGAAAUUCGUAGAUAUUCGCAAGAACACCAGUGGCGAAGGCGGCUCACUGGCCCGGUACUGACGCUGAGGCACGAAAGCGUGGGGAGCAAACAGG
rnacentral:rRNA from 1 species